rnacentral:rRNA from 1 species
CCUACGGGAGGCAGCAGUGGGGGAUAUUGCACAAUGGGGGAAACCCUGAUGCAGCGACGCCGCGUGAGUGAAGAAGUAUUUCGGUAUGUAAAGCUCUAUCAGCAGGGAAGAUAAUGACAGUACCUGACCAAUAAGCCCCGGCUAACUACGUGCCAGCAGCCGCGGUAAUACGUAGGGGGCAAGCGUUACCCGGAUUUACUGGGUGUAAAGGGAGCGUAGACGGUUAUGUAAGUCUGAUGUGAAAGCCCGGAGCUCAACCCCAGGACUGCUUUGGAAACUGUGUAACUGGAGUGCAGGAGGGGCAGGUGGAAUUCUUGGUGUAGCGGUGAAAUGCGUAGAUAUCAGGAGGAACACCGGCGGCGAAGGCGACCUGCUGGACUGAAACUGACGUUGAGGCUCGAAAGCGUGGGGAGCAAACAGGAUUAGAUACCCGAGUAGUC